GGUCGGGGAGCUUGUAUAUAUGAGUCACAUUCGCAGGCAUGGAUGAAGCAGUUGCUCACUGUGCCCCCAUGCUGGGCUAAGCAAGUUAAACACUGGGUCCUGCUCCUCUGAAGUAAGAAAGAAUGACUGCUGGAUGCACUUCACAGAAAAGGAAAAUAAACCACUUGCCCAAGGUGAGCCGUCUAGUAAGUGGCUUCACUAAGCACAGAGUAUGCAGGAAACAUCAUCAAAGAAAUGGAUGCGUGGUGGGAUGGAUGGAUGGAUGAUGAUGGAUGAGCAAACCUAGGUCUGAUUCCCAAAUUGAGCUCUUAACUUCUCCCUAAUCCUGGGGGGCAGUAAAGAAGAGAGGGGGGCUAGAGCCGUCCAGGGUACCCAAAGGAGAGGCACCCUGGCUGUUUUCCUUACCCCAUCUCACCUGGAAUAAAAUCAGAAGUCACAGCCACAGCCUACGAGGUCCUGUGCCACCUGACUCGACUCAUCUCCUACCACCCUCCCCUCCAUUCAUCUACUCCAGCCCUAGUGGACUCCUUGCUACUCUCUCAACAGGCCCACUCCCCUCACCUCGGGGCAUGUGCACUUACGAUCCCCUCUGCCUAAGAUAUCUUCCCCCAGCUGCCCACCUGGUUCUCUCUUCAAAUGUCAACUUCUUGAGAGGCCUGCUGAGAUCCUUAUUUAAAUAUCACUUGGUCACUUGGUGUCCCGUUACCCAUUUUAAUUUUUCUCCUAAGCAAUCAUAACCAACUAAUAUCUAUUUGUUUGUGUCUGACUUUCCCAACCUCACUCAGGAAUAGAAACUGCAAAAGCAGGGGUUUGGUUUUGUUUGCAGCUGUAUUCCCAACACCUACAACAGUGCUUUGUACAGAGUCAACAUCAAUGAAUAUUUGCCAAAUGAAUGAAUGAAUGAAUGGCUCUGACAAGUCCUGAAAGGAAGAGCAGGAUCUCCUCAUAGGCACCACUGGGUUCAAACAUGUGCUAAAUCUAUGUAAGACAUUGCCCCCUCCUCCAAGAAGCCCUCCUGAAUUUGUACCUUCUUCAGCAAGAAGCCAAAACUCCCAGCAUUAAGAACUUGCUGCAUCCAGUAGAACACAGUGCCUCCCCUCCUGCCCUCUCGCUCCCCCACCUUGAUCUCCUUUCCCUGUGAUCUUUCCAGGUGAGCGGAAGGGAGAGAAAAGCCCGGACCUGGGGUGCCCGCUUGGCCAGCCUACAGCAAUGGUGCCCCAGCCAGGAGGUAGGAGGAGGCGGUGCCCCAGGCUUAAGGCAUGAAUGGGGCAGGAGGUGGAUGAAAGGCAGGACUGCUCCUGGCCUAACGAACAAAGGGGACCAGAGCAGGUGUGAGGGGGACUGGGGGCCAGCCGGGAGGAGAAACUGGAUCUGGAGCUGGAGAUCAGUUUCACCUGCAGCAGUGCAGGUUUCCAUUAGCUUUCUUUGGCUGUCACUCAUGCUUUGGGGACAAAGCUCAGGCUGGAGGUUGAGGAGAGGCAGAGGCCAGGGAGCGGGGGCUCCUUUCUCUCGGGGUCAGUCUCCAGCAGCGUCUCUACUUCCCAGGAGGCAGCCACACAAGGUCAAAGCCCAACAGGAGCUUAGAAAAGAUAGUCCAAUGCUAUCAUUUUACAGAUGGGACCAAUGAAGCCUCCAGGGUACCAUGACUCACCAAGGUCACACAGCUACUGGCAGAGCUGGGACCUGAAUCCAGGAGUCCUGGCUGUCAGGAGAGACGCCACAGAGGAAGCAGGUGGAGCGUGGGUCUAUCCGGGAAGUAACAAGUGCCCCUGCAAUGCGUUUUCAUGUCAGAAAUAGAAAUGGCUCAUCACCUAGUUGGGGCACCAACUGGGUUCCUAACCCAAAGACUCCAAAUAAAAGAAGAAGCUGCAUUUGCUAUCAUUUUUUAAAAUUUUGUUUUGUAGAGAUGGGGUCUUGCCCCCACGUUGCCCAGGCUGGUUUCAAAUUCCUGGCCUCAACCCAUCCUCCCGCCUCGUUGUCCCAAAGCACUGGGAUCACAGGGGUGA
rnacentral:lncRNA from 1 species